UCUAGACCCCGCCUUCCAAGGCCACGCCUUCCCCGACUCCCGGAUGUGCUUCUGGAGAGGAUGGGAAGGGCCAGACCCGGAAACGUUGCCAUGGACCCCCAGGUUGAAGGUCAAGUAACAUGAGCAUGCCCAGAUGGACCAAGUGCGCAACGAUAAGUGGAACCUAAGUGCUCAGACCAAAGAGUAGGGACUGAAUUAAGAAGUGGACACUGCAUGGCAGGAUCCAGGAUGCAAUCAGAUUGAGCCCUGGUGUCACCCCAUGGCAAGAUCCAGUCAGAUCAUUCCUGCCAGCAUCAUGGCAUUGCAAUAUCCAAUCAGAUCACGCCUCAUUGCCCUCUGCUUAUACAACCGGAACCAGCUCCCAGCUCAGGGAUUUGAGCACUUCCUCCUGUCUCCUGGCCAGUUGCUUUUCAAUAAAGCUUUCCUUUUCUCAAA